AUGGGUGUGGAAAAGACUCACGUUCGCAAUGCGCAAAGCAUUAGAAAGAUACCGGUGGAAGACGCAGCUCGCGGGCGCCCUUUGCAGAAGAUGCUGGGAAAUGUAGUUCCUGUCCGCCGCGUGCGCAGGCGUACUUCUUGGCUUGGGAAGCUCAUCGCCCGACAGUGCUCUUUAUUUUUCCGUGGAGCAGGUGAGCUUUUUCUUUCCCCACCCUUGGACUCCUGUGGGAGGCUGGGAGAGAGGUCCGCUUCAAACACAACCAUUCGGGCGGGUCAGCCGAGGCCUGAGAAUGCAUUGGCCGGGCCCGGGGGCGGAGGCGGGGGCGGAGGAAAGGCGAUUAGGUCAGGCUGGGUAUUUGGUUCGCGUUGCAGUGAUGGCCCAGGGUGAUGGUGACCGGGGCCAGCAUCCCGCUUCGGGGUGAGGAGGAGGCAAAGCCCUGUCUGCGCAUCCCAGCCUUACUAGUCGGGGCCUUGGGUUCUCUUCUGGGUUGGAGGGUGAUGAAAACAGAGCUCAGAGCUUUUGGGCCUUGCUUUGACUCUGAUGGGGGGCAGUUUAUCUGGGGAGAGGCAGCCACCCCAGACCUUGGUGGUAGACCUGGGAAUUGCAAGAAAACUGUGAUAGGUAUUUAGUGCCAACUAGAAUUUAGGUUUCCCGACAUCCAGUUCUUGCUCUUUCCUCAGAAACUCACCUCCUCGCUAGAUGUAGUUUAUUUAGUUUUACUGGUAAAUUUCUGAAGUCUCUUCUAUAAAGAACUGUGGAAUUGAUUCCCUACACUCUGCGGGCAAUGAAGAGCAAUUGUUUGUUCUUUGAGAUGGCAUUUGUGGAUGCACUUCGAAAAAUUGUAUAUGCUUUACAAGUAUUAUUAUUAACAAAUGGGGGCUGAUGUACUCGGUGCCACCCAUCAUGGGAGGAUAAAGUUAGCCCUGUUUCUGGUUUGUCAGAUUGGACCAGUGACCAGAGACAGGAAUGUAAGUGGCCUUUCACUUCGUACUCUGCAGGGAAACAAUCUGUUCCUAGACUCAUUCUGACAUUUUUACAGAGGGUGCGGGUUAUAUCCAGGUAGUCAGACAGGCUUCCCAUAAAGACAGUCCUGAUUUCUCAAGGCCCCUUUCCUUUUUCAGCUCUGCUUUCUCAGGUCUCUACUUACUUCUAUAAGAUGGCAUCAAGAAGAAGGACCUGACCACUGGCCCCUGACUACAUGGUCUUUGGUGAGCAGAACUUUUCAAGGCAUUUCUUAGUAGAAAUUAAGCUGGGUUUAAUUUCUAAAGUUCCAUCUUGCAGUGUGGAAAAAUCAUAUGCAAUUAAAUGUCCCUUGAGAAUCUCUUUUAUUGCUCAUUAUUUGCUUUCUUUUUCUUUUUUUUUUUUUUUUUUUUUUUGGAGACAGAGUCUCGCCCUGUCGCCCAGGCUGGAGUGCAGUGCAUGAUCUUGGCUCACUGCAACCUCUGCCUCCUGGGUUCAAGCGAUUCUCGUGCCUCAGCCUCCUGAGUAGCUGGGACUAUAGGCGUGCACCACCACGCCUGGCUAAUUUUUGUAUUUUUAGUAGAGAUGGGGUUUCACCAUGUUGUGCAACCUGGUCUUGAACUCCUGACCUCGUGAUCUGCCUGCCUCAGCCUCCCAAAGUGCUGGGAUUACAGGUGUGAGCCACCGCACUCGGCGUAAUUUUUCUUUGUAACUGACAAAUAAAAAUUGUAUAUAUCAUGUGUAACGUGUUGUUUUGAAAUAUGUAUACUUGGUAGAAUGGCUAAAUCAGCUAAUGAACAUGCAUCACCUCACGUACUUUUAAUUUUUUUGUGGUGAGAGCACUUAAACUGCUCUCAUAGCAAUUUUCAAGAAUACAUUGUUAUGAACGAUAGUUCAUAAUGUGUAUUUACAUGUAGUGUGUAAACAACCAUGCAAUAAUAUACAUGUAUAAAUGUACCCCAACUAUGUUCUUUAAACAUUAAAAUAACUCAGCAUAGCAAGAUGCUCACUUACGAGAGGGCUGUGAGAACUGAGACUGAGGAAACAGGAGAUGCUCCCAUCUCACUCUUACCUUUAGAUGACAUACUUUCUUGAGCCUGUUGGGCAGAUUUGUACAAAUAAAAUAUACAUAUGUGUCUGUAAUGCAGCUCUGCUGUAUUUUUUAUUUCCUGAAAUAUCACCUCUGUCCAGAGGGAGGGAAGAUUUUCUUUCACUCACUGAAUAAUAUUCAUUGAGUGCCUACUUUUUGCCAGCUAAUAUUCUAAGCAUUGGGAUAUAACAGUGAAUAACGCAAAGUCCCUGCCUAUGUGGAGCUGACAGUCUUGGAUGGGACAAUAAUGCAAACACAGAUAUUCCUCAACUUAGCAUGGGGUUACAUUCCAGUAAAUGUGCAAGUUGAAAAUAUUAAUUCAAAAAUGCACUAAUUCACCUAAUCUACUGAACAUCAUUCGUAGUGAUGAAUAGAGGAAACUAUACCAGAGUAACGGGGCUAGGGAAGGCAUGGGACAGCCAUUAUUUAAUAUAGGGGAGUGGGAGAAAACUUCACUGGUAGAUGACAUUGAAUAGAGACUUACAGAAAAUGAGAAUAUGGGCUGGGCGCGAUGGCUCAUGCCUGUAAUCCCAGCACUUCGGGAGGCCGAGGCAGGCAGAUCACGAGGUCAAGAGAUUGAGACCAUCCUGGCCAACAUGGUGAAACUCUGUCUCUACUAAAAAUACAAAAAUUAUCUGGGCGUUAUGGCAAAUGCCUGUAGUCCUAGCUACUCAGGAGACUGAGGCAGGAGAAUCGCUUGAACCUGGGAGGUGGAGGUUGCAUUGAGCUGAGAUCGUGCCACUGCCUUCCAGCCUGGGCUAUAGAGCAAGACUCCAUCUCCAAAAAAAAAAAAAAAAAAAAAAGAAUAUGAGCAUUGCAGAUAUUUGGGAAGACGGGAGGAGGAGGAUUAAGUUCCUCAGCAGAAGCAACAGCAAAUGCAAAGCCUUAAGGUGCGGAUAUGCUUAACCUUUGUGGGAACAUCAGGAAGGCCAUGUGUCCUGAGACGGGUGAGUGAGAGCAGCACAGCAGGAGUUGAGAUGACAGAGGUAAGGCGUGUAGACCACACAGCACACAGGCUAGUAUAGGCCACAGCCAGUUUGGCUUUUGUGUUGAAUGAGAAGAGAAAAUGUAGGAAGUGAUGGUGGUUGGUGUUAUUGUUUAUUCAGCUCUAUUGAGAUUUACAUAUAAUUUGCCAAUUUUCAUAGGAGGAUUUUGAAUAGAGAAGUGACAUAACUUGACUUAGUUUAAAGGAACCAUUUUGGAUGCUCUGUUGAGAAUAGAGUAUAGGGUACCAAGGUCAGACAUGGAUACUGGCUAGGAAGCUAAAGCAAUCAUCCAGGUGAAAGAUGGAUUUUUCUAUUUCCUUCAUUAUCUGACUUUUUAAGCCAACCAACACUUCAUCUACCCCAAACUUCCAAUUCCUCUCCCCAUCUCCACUCUCAUGCUUCCUAUUUUACUAAGAGAACUAGCAGAGAACUUCCAAAUGCUCUCACCACUACAUCCCCUAAUCUUCCAGGAAGUAUUCCCAUUAUACUCCAAAGUAACAGGAGGGAGCCUGUCCUCCCUCCUGUUACUAUGGAGAAAUGGCCUGGACUCUAAUUUAUGGCCAACUCCUCUACUAGUGUACUAGAUCCCACUUUCUCUCACUUUCCCAGGACAGUGCCUGGGACAAUCAUUGGGCAAAAUUCCUGAUAGUUUUGUCAUUUAUAUAUAUUUUGCUUAUUUAGAUAUCUAGACAUAAUUUUUCAGAAAAAUAGAAAAAUUCAAAUAAAAUGCUGGAUUUUAAAAUCAUAAAUGAUCUAAUAUCCAUCAACACUAAUUUGCUGUGAGAGAAAUCUGCAAAUACAUAAUGCUUCUAUCAUUCUUGAGUUGAAAGGGACUUCUGUUAAAAGAGUUCAACUAUAAUUCCAUGGGUUAAAACUAUUAAUAAAUCCAUAGAAUUUUCUUCCUUUUCAUAAACAUUUCUUCCUGUUACUUCGUGUUACUCUAUGCGUCACUCCCUCCCACUUUCCUAGGAAGGAAUACAGACAUUGGAAGUAGAACACUGAGGUACAAUGAAUGUAAUGAUGUAACGAGAGGAAAAGUACAAGGUGCUGUGAGUUCAUUUUUGUAGGUAAUGUAGCUAUUAUUAACAAUGUGUAUGACUCAAAGGUAAUUUAUUAUGAACCUGGUGUGAUUAUAAUGUGACUUUGUAAAAUAAAUACAAAUAAACCUUUUCCACUAAGAGCAUAUAAGAGCAGCCAUUUCCCCAGUACUUAAAACAGUACUGAAUAUUGCCUGUUUUUAACAUUUUUGCCCAUCUGAUGAAUGAAAAUUAGUAUCUUAAUUUGUAUUUCUGUGAUUAGAAGUGAGCUUGAAAAUCUUUUUGUAUAUUGAUCAUUUGUAUUUCUUUUGUGAAUUUCCUGUUCAUAUGUUCAUAUCUUUUGCCCAGAUUUGUAUGGCAUUAUACAUUUUUCCUAUUUGAUUUGUACAAACUCUGUAUAAUACAGAAAAUUGUCCUUUUUGCUUUAUUAGUUACAAAUAUUUACUCCCAGUAUGUCUUUUGUCUUUUAAUUUAGUUGAUUGCCUUCUAUGUUUGUAUAGUCAAAUCUGUGAGUCUUUUUCUAUAUAACCUCUAGAUUUUAUAUUUUAUUAAGGAUUUCCCCAUUGCAAGAUUAUAAAAAUAUUCUUCUAGUGG
rnacentral:lncRNA from 1 species